AUGAAAGUUAUGUAGAGAUGAUGAAAUCUGGUUCAGAGUUAAAAAUAACCCCCUGGACUUUGCCUUUGAGCUGUAGGCCUAGUUAUUUUUUAACCAAACCAGGAAAUUAAAUUGAACAUAGCCCUCAAAGGAGUCCCAUUUCUACUGCCCCUGGCUUAUGGUAUGGCCUUAGGAACCAAAGGUCCAGGAAAGUUAAGAGAUUUACCCACAAGUCAUGCGGGAAAUACACAUCAGAGGUGGGAUUUGAAUCCAAAUUCUCUGAUUCCAGACCCCAUUAUCUUUGUACUGUAUCACUUACCAACCAUCUCCUGCAUUCCUAAGUAAAUUUUAAGAAACUCUUAAUCUCAGUUUUCAUAUCUAUAAAAUGAAAAUGAUAAUAAUA